rnacentral:rRNA from 1 species
GGACUACUCGGGUAUCUAAUCCUGUUUGCUCCCCACGCUUUCGCGUCUCAGCGUCAGUAAGUGUCCAGGAAGCCGCCUUCGCCACCGGUGUUCCUCCUGAUAUCUACGAAUUUCACCUCUACACCAGGAAUUCUGCUUCCCUCUCCACCACUCCAGACCAGCAGUUUCGGAUGCAGUUCCUGAGUUGAGCUCAGGGCUUUCACGUCCGACUUGCUGGUCCGCCUACACGCGCUUUACGCCCAGUAAUUCCGAGCAACGUUUGCACCCUCUGUCUUACCGCGGCUGCUGGCAC